rnacentral:pre_miRNA from 1 species
AUAAUACUCCCUUCAUCCCCAAAUUCUUGUCUCAGAUUUGUAUAGAUACGGAUGUAUCUAAUACUAAAAUGUGACUUGAUACAUCCGUAUUUAGACAAAUCUAAGACAAGAAUUUUGGGACGGAGGGAGUAGUUU